ensembl:lncRNA
AAAAAAAGGAAACUCAGGGUAAGAAGAGCUGAAAUUACAGGAGAAGGAAGAAAAGGGGUGAUGAAGGCUGUGGCAUUGGCAAUACAGCUGCUUUUAGGGACUGUAAGAAGGAGUGAAAAAUACCACCAAGGGAAUCCAGCCAGGUGGUUAUAAAGUAUGAUAAAAUAGGAUUUAGGGGAACAGCUUGCAGCAUGCCAUGCUGGGACGCGGGAGCCUGGGUCUCCAUUAUGAUUACACUACAGUGAGUGCCAAAGACUGCCUGGAAAUUGGAUCAGCUGAGCUUUGAACAGUAUCUGCUGCUUUUCCCACCGAAUCAGAAGCCAGCCUACCUCUGCAGAGCUUCACCGCCAUGCUCAGACCCAGGACAAAUAUAGGAAGAGAAUUAGAAUGAGAAAAGAAGAUGAGCAGUUCUUACCAGCAGAAAAUGAUAGUGUCCAGAGAAGGGUAACAGAACUGGUGAAGGAUCUGGAGCUGCUGAGGAAACUGGGAUUGUUCGGUCUGGAGAAGAGGAAGCUCAGGGAAGAUGUAAUCUCUCUACGCUCCCUGAAAGGAGGUUAUAGUAAGGUGGAGGUCAGCCUCUUCACCCAGCGUUAAUGAGGUGAAGAAGAAAAGGACCCACUGUCUGUAGACAAUGGGAAGUUGAAGUUCUUGAAUCGUGGAUAAGCCUCCGAGGAAGUGCUGUGUCAGAGCUGGUUUCUUUAAGGAAGGCUGUUAGGUGGAAUCCUCAAAUGGGGAGGAGUGGUGAAAGAGUUGAUUGGAGUCCUUCAGCACUAAUUAACCGG